ACACUCCUACGGGAGGCAGCAGUGGGGAAUAUUGGACAAUGGGCGCAAGCCUGAUCCAGCCAUGCCGCGUGAGUGAUGAAGGCCCUAGGGUUGUAAAGCUCUUUCACCGGAGAAGAUAAUGACGGUAUCCGGAGAAGAAGCCCCGGCUAACUUCGUGCCAGCAGCCGCGGUAAUACGAAGGGGGCUAGCGUUGUUCGGAAUUACUGGGCGUAAAGCGCACGUAGGCGGAUCGAUCAGUCAGGGGUGAAAUCCCAGGGCUCAACCCUGGAACUGCCUUUGAUACUGUCGAUCUGGAGUAUGGAAGAGGUGAGUGGAAUUCCGAGUGUAGAGGUGAAAUUCGUAGAUAUUCGGAGGAACACCAGUGGCGAAGGCGGCUCACUGGUCCAUUACUGACGCUGAGGUGCGAAAGCGUGGGGAGCAAACAGGAUUAGAUACCCCGGUAGUCCCAUG
rnacentral:rRNA from 1 species